CCACGUCAGUUACUUAUCGCGCUC
rnacentral:rRNA from 1 species